CAGCCGUAAACGAUGCGCGUUAGGUGUAUCGACGACCACGAGUCGUCGAGGUGCCGAAGGGAAACCGUGAAACGUGCCGCCUGGGAAGUACGGUCGCAAGGCUGAAACUUAAAGGAAUUGGCGGGGGAGCACCACAACAGGUGGAGCCUGCGGUUUAAUUGGACUCAACGCCGGAAAUCUCACCGGAUAAGACGGCAGAAUGAUGGCCGGGCUGAAGACUCUGCAUGACUAGCUGAGAGGAGGUGCAUGGCGUAGACGUCU
rnacentral:rRNA from 1 species